rnacentral:rRNA from 1 species
GAGUUUGAUCGUGGCUCAGGAUGAACGCUGGCGGCGUGCCUAACACAUGCAAGUCGAGCGAAGCAUACAGGAGGAAGUUUUCGGAUGGAAUCCUGCAUGGCUGAGCGGCGGACGGGUGAGUAACGCGUGGGUAACCUGCCUUAUACAGGGGAGUAACAGUUAGAAAUGACUGCUAAUACCGCAUAAGCGCACAGUACCGCAUGGUAGUGUGUGAAAAACUCCGGUGGUAUAAGAUGGACCCGCGUCUGACUAGCCAGUUGGCGAGGUAACGGCUCACCAAGGCGACGAUCAGUAGCUGGUCUGAGAGGAUGAUCCGCCACACUGGGACUGAGACACGGCCCAGACUCCUACGGGAGGCAGCAGU